CAAUUUUUUCCUAAUAUAGGAUUUCUCUAUAUUUUUCUAUAAAUGAACUUUAUCUUAUACUUAAUAGAAAAAUAACAUAAAAAAAUGGGGUCACCGUUCAUUUACGCUCACAAUCUAUCUUCGAAAGAAGCAUACAUUUAUGAAAAAGUACUUUUUUUCUGUUGAACUUAUAAGAGAAAAAGAGGUAAUAUUGAAAUAAAAAAAAGAACUAAAUUACAGAAAUCGAUAAAAUUUUACAAUAGUUUAGUUCAAGUACAGCUUAUUUGAAAAUAAUAAUAAAAAAUAUAGGUCACGGAUGACUUAAAGAAGACAUUUCAAUUUUAAUUCCCAAAAAUGGCAUUUUUGCACCAAAGGGAGAUAAUUUGGAGCUUUUUCAAUGAUACAUAUAUUUUAAAAGUCAUCUGGGGCCAAAACCAAAUGAUUUAUUUGACUGAUUUUUGUACCAUAUGAUAAAGUAACAACUAAUAAAGUAAUAAAUAAAAUUUGUAAUGAAAAAAAAAAUGGGUUUUUUUCUGAAAUUUUUAUACCCUCGAGC
rnacentral:lncRNA from 1 species